rnacentral:rRNA from 1 species
UACGUAGGGCGCAAGCGUUUGUCCGGAAUUAUUGGGCGUAAAGAGCUCGUAGGCGGUCUGUCGCGUCGGCUGUGAAAACCUGGGGCUCAACCCCGGGCCUGCAGCCGAUACGGGCAAGCUAGAAUUCGGUAGGGGAGACUGGAAUUCCUGGUGUAGCGGUGAAAUGCGCAGAUAUCAGGAGGAACACCGGUGGCGAAGGCGGGUCUCUGGGCCGACACUGACGCUGAUGCGCGAAAGCCAGGGGAGCGAACGGG